rnacentral:tRNA from 1 species
CAGGAGACAGCAGCUGGUAGAGCAGAGGACUGAAAAUCCUCGUGUCACAGUUUCAAAU